ensembl:snoRNA
AUCCUUUUGUAGUUCAUAAGCGUGAUGAUGGGGAUUCACACUAUUGUGUGAGAUGUGCCCCCCUCAGCCAUUGUGACAACAUCGGCACAUUACCCAUCUGACA